GUCGCGAGGUAAUCAACGUACACCUGUGGGAGCCGCGGUGCAGCGUCGUGUUAAUCCGCUGAACGAUUCGACGGCGGCAACUACGAGAUUUAAACUGUCCAAGAGCUGCAGUGGCACUUUCCAUUACAGCACAGGUGUCUGCAGAAUGCAGAUGGAACUGCCUCAAGUCCGCUGGGGCAGCCAGAGACUUAGCCCGUCAAAGAACCUCCUGGCGUUUGCGACGUAGAAGUUGGCGUUCUGAGUGAAGUCGGUGCAGAUGUUGGAGUAAGUGUCCACCAGGGUGCAGUAGAGAGCGGUCCCGCCUAUGCUGAUCACCACAGUAACCAGACACAGCAGCAGGAGGAUCAGGCAGGAAUCUCCACCGACCUCAUCUGAAGAAGAUGGAGACCAGACCAUCAGGGGAGGAACUCUGCAGGAGCCACAGGAGACACAAAGGGGUUUAAAGGAUGACGGGGGGGUCCAGCAUCUGAUGAGAAGAUUGCAUCAACAUCUUGGGGCUGAACUCUGCUGGCUCUCAAUGCACUUGCUCUUGACGACGUGAACCGUCAUGCUGCUGCUGUUGUUAUAUUGCAUCACAAUACAACUGGUUCCCUCGAAGGCUCUGCGCUCUUGCGCUUUUCGCCGCCUCUUCUUGUGCCGUCUCCUGGUGGCGACGUCGAAGCAGGUGACCAUCAUGACGUUGGCCUUGCAGCGGUCGACCCUGUUCUCCAGUCGGGCGGUCACCACCUCAAGGGCCUCCAGGUGCUCCAGGGAGUCCACCUCGAACGUCUGCCACAGGUCAACUGAAGAGGGACAGUGAGGCUCCAGCGUGAGGUUGUGUUUGGCCCGCUUCAGCUCUCUGCUCAGGUUGUCGUAUUUGGCUCGGACCUCUGAGAUCCUCUGCUGUCGGUGCUCCAAAAACUUCAGUUUGGCACUGAAGCACGCUGGGCCCUGAAAAAAAAAACGCAUAUAUACACACAUUUCAUCACUUUAAUUUUUGUUCAGAUAGCACAAAAUAUUUCUUUCAUCUGCAAACCAGUUAGCUCCAAUCUACAGACAUUACCCAGACUAACAGAUAUACACAAGCUGUCUGAAUUCAUCUCUUAAGUAGUGUGACAGGAUUUUUUAAAAAUGUAGUACUUUUAAAUAUUUAACUAGUAUUGAAAUUUUACCCAGACCCAGACUAGUAAGUAAUCCCACCUCCAGAACAGUAUGGAGAAUUAUUUAUUAGCAUUAUUUAGUCGCUGUUUUCAUUGCUGCAGUGAAUGUACAGACAAGACAUCACUGGAUUACUUUGGUACUAAAGAACACUUAAUUUUCAUUAAAUGAAAUUAAGGUUAUUUAUUAACAUUUCUGAACAGUGAACAUGAGUUAAUCCUUGGACGGCAAAUUUAAUCUAUAUGUGUAUGGAUGGUGGCUUUGGGUUCAGAUUUUACUGAAUUGUGAGUUUGAGCUGAUUCUCAAUUAAGCCAAAAACCAAAGCAGCGAGCCAAACUACAUUAACCAAUUUCCCAUUGUUUUCAGAUCACUGGCUCAUACACCUGACCCUCCUCACCUCCCAUUCAACUACUUGCCCUUCCUGCCUCAGUUUUAAAAACCUCUGUUGUACAUCAAUACACACAAACACGAAUACACUUUAGACGUUGGAUUGACAUAGUGACCCCCUUUCGUUAUGUCUCUCCACACACACCCCCACUACGUUAACAUCAUGUGAAAGCACAAACGACACCUCUGGGGAGUGAAACAAGACAUGUCUGUAGGUUCCUAAUUAAAAUCCUAAUUUCUGAUCAUAUCAACCUUAUUACACAGAAGGAACCAUUUUUAAGCGGGGGAAUACAUUAGAAUGCCUCAAAUAUUAAGUAUGAAGUUCUGUGGUAUUACUAAUAUUUUACCUCAAAUUAACCCGCCACACGCCCUCCCAUUACGUUUAAUGAAAUAAAAGAAAUAAUGUUAAGAUACUCUGAAUUCAAUAUUUGCUUAAUGUUUUAUUUUCUCCCAAAUGUUCUGUCGUCUUUUACCUACAGUGUGUUGUGUUAGUUUUACUCCCAGUGUUCUUUGUUCUCAGCUGCAGCAUUGACCCAAUUUCCCCCAUGUGGUCAUUAAAAUUGUAUCAAAGUUGCCAUGUCUGAGACUGGUGGAGGCAGGGAAUGGUCUCACGAGACCAGACCUCUCGUCAUGGGGACAUGACAUCACCAUAUGCACCCGACCCUGUGUGCGAGCACAUUUAAGCUCUUCGUUCAAGGCCUCUGGGAUUCCCCGAUCCGCCCAGUGAGACCGCAGACCACUAGCCGAGCGUCUCAGGGACACGGCUGUUUCUUGGGAAGGACAACGCUGAGCUCGACGGCAGACACUGAUACAAUCAGAUCGGUCCAGGUCUUCUCUCGCCGCCGCUCGAUGGCACUGUACAGCCAGGAGAUGGCACAGGGAAUGAGCCCGAGAUUCUGGAUGCUCUCAUCACUCCCCACCGUGCUGGACCAGGAGCCUGAGGCACACAACAGUGCAAAUAUAGCACAGCCCAAACCCAGAACGCAUCCAUCGCUGCCACUGAGCACACAGCGGAUGACGUCAGCCAAGACGCCAGCACACACCUCGGCCUGGUCAGAAAGAACAAAGGACCGCAAGCAUCUUGAGAUUCAUCUCCACAACGGAAAAAAGACCAUCCAAUGAAAUGAAAUAGCUGAAAGCAGAGGGAGGGAUGCAUGCUGAUCCUGUCCAUUCCCUGGGGCUCAGAUACUGUAAGCAGAGCUCGGAGAAGGAUGAAUAUAAUUGAUGGACUGCGUAAUUGUGGUGGCUAUCGAGGCCCUAUCAGUUUUCAGGUCAUCAGACCGAGAGAACAAACUAAAAGACAAACUGUAUAGAGGGGGGAAAGUGCAUUUUGAAUACACGA